UGGCUUUAAAAAAUGAGGUCCCAAUUUAAGGAAAUUAUGGGUCUGCAUUUCUCUUUCUUUUAUUCCAUCAGGGUCACGAGUACCAACUCAUUCCUGGUCAGUGCUGUGGAGAGUGUGUUAGCACCGAUUGUGUGGUUAUGCAUGACAACAUCACAGUUACCGUUCCAGUUGACCAGAUUUGGCAACCAGCUAAUGACAAAUGUGUGAAUUACAAGUGUGAGAGAGUCAAUGGUAACUCAAUGACAGUUGAGAUUAAGACCACUUGCCCUGCCUUCAAUCCUGAGAAUUGUAUCCCUGGAACAGAGACAAUAGAUGCAGAUGGCUGCUGUCAAACCUGUGAGUCUGGAACAUUUAAAAAGCACUACUCAAUAAUUGCAAAAUAUGUUAAUGAGAGUUAAAUAUUACUC
rnacentral:lncRNA from 1 species